GGAUAACUCCGGGAAACCGGGGCUAAUACCGGAUGCUUGUUUGAACCGCAUGGUUCAAACAUAAAAGGUGGCUUCGGCUACCACUUACAGAUGGACCCGCGGCGCAUUAGCUAGUUGGUGAGGUAAUGGCUCACCAAGGCAACGAUGCGUAGCCGACCUGAGAGGGUGAUCGGCCACACUGGGACUGAGACACGGCCCAGACUCCUACGGGAGGCAGCAGUAGGGAAUCUUCCGCAAUGGACGAAAGUCUGACGGAGCAACGCCGCGUGAGUGAUGAAGGUUUUCGGAUCGUAAAGCUCUGUUGUUAGGGAAGAACAAGUGCCGUUCAAAUAGGGCGGCACCUUGACGGUACCUAACCAGAAAGCCACGGCUAACUACGUGCCAGCAGCCGCGGUAAUACGUAGGUGGCAAGCGUUGUCCGGAAUUAUUGGGCGUAAAGGGCUCGCAGGCGGUUUCUUAAGUCUGAUGUGAAAGCCCCCGGCUCAACCGGGGAGGGUCAUUGGAAACUGGGGAACUUGAGUGCAGAAGAGGAGAGUGGAAUUCCACGUGUAGCGGUGAAAUGCGUAGAGAUGUGGAGGAACACCAGUGGCGAAGGCGACUCUCUGGUCUGUAACUGACGCUGAGGAGCGAAAGCGUGGGGAGCGAACAGGAUUAGAUACCCUGGUAGUCCACGCCGUAAACGAUGAGUGCUAAGUGUUAGGGGGUUUCCGCCCC
rnacentral:rRNA from 1 species